rnacentral:tRNA from 1 species
GUCGGAUAUGAUCCCAGUAUCCCUGCUGCUCCUCUCUCCUGGUUCUUGCUCCUCAGGAGUCAGAGUCACAGAAAUGCAGUUCUCAUUUGCGGGAGCUCCGUGGAGAAAGUGCUGGCCAGUUCAUCCUUGCAGGCCUAAUUCCAGGCGUGUGUUAUAUAUAUGUUAUAUUGGUGGAGUGACUGUGUUCUUUAUUUAUACUUACUGAGUGCAAACCGUGGGGGUGAAAAGGGCUUUCCCAGACUCCAGCAUGUUUAUUUCAAGUGUCCUCUUCGAUGGCUAAUCUUGGGUGGUCAACUUGACAGUGUGUCAAGGAAGAGAGAGCCCCAUGUGGGGAGUUGCCUAGAUCAAAUUGUCUGGUGGGCAUGUCUGUGGAUCAUUCUCUUUAAUGUUAAUUGGUGUAGGACGGCCCAGCCCACAUUGGAUGGUUCAUACCUUAGGCAGGUAUGCGUGAGCUGAAUAAGAAAGCUGAGCCAGAGCCUGAGAGCAAGCCAGCAAGUAAGCUCUCUCCACACUUUCUACUUCAAGUUCCCACCUAAAGGUCCCGUCUUGACUCCCCUCCACGAUCUAUGAAACAAAAUAAACCCUUUCCUACCCUAGCUGCUUUUGGUCAGAAUGUUUUAAAUCAGCAACAGAAAAGCAAACUAGAACACCCUCAAAAUGUCUGUUCUGGAGCAGGCUGGUCCCCAACUCUGUAACAGGGAGGAUUAUGCAAGAUCUAUGGCAACUAUUGUCUGUAUUUUUUCUACCAGUGCCCUAAGGUAUCCCGCAGAGAUGGGGCAAGUAAGGGGCCUCAGGAAGCUUAUGGGCGUUUCUCUUUCUAUCUCAGGAGCUGGCCUGCAUCGUUACUUCGGAUCUUCACAGACUGUGGGCCCCGGUCAGAGUCCAUAGAGGAAUGGGAUGUUUACCCCAGCAUUCGGAACAAGAGCAGUCAGUACCCACUGAGUCACGGAGGAUGGGCUUCCGCGGGUAGCAGAGGAGCCAAUGAGCACUACCGAGAGAGGGAAGCUGUUGAGUAGCCAGAGAGGUUUACUUUCCUGAGAAACACCAACCCAGAUCUGAGGGGCUGAAGAUCUUUCCAUUCUGGCUCCUCAGGUUACCUGGGGGAGGGGACCGCCUCCUUGGCCAAAGCAUUGGGACUUUUUUUUUUUCCCCCAAAUCUCCCUCACCUCUCUCGACCAUCUCUGUGGCAUUUCUUUUCAGGUCCCAGACUGAACUCUCUAAAAAAAAAGUUAUACUUUUCAGUAUUUCGCAACUACCCAAAAUUCCAACCACAGGAAAACAAUUAUUUAAAUUUCUCCAGGCGCCUAUACGUGAAGACUAUUUAUUUUCCUCUUACAUUCCCACGGCCUUCUCCAACGGAGUUUUCCUGGGGCAGAGCUCUGGGGCUGAAGCUUCAGCUGCUGACUUCGGGCUAGUGGCCCGGGGAGGAGCCACUGCGAUCUAAGCUCAGCUUUUGAUCUCAAUUUAGAAAACUGCUGCGGCCUCUACUGGUUUCAAUAGAAUCUCAGAAGUUUAAUGAACUGAAACGCAUUGAAACUGCUCAAACCCAAGAAGGGCUAAGCUGGUUUAAAUUCCCUUCAACAGAUGCAGGAACAGGAGAGGGAGCGGCGGGUGUGCGGGAAGCCAGGACGUGGUACGCUGCCUCGCGGGUGUGGGAGAUCUUUCGUCCCCAGGUCACCUGAAAACAUGGCAGACCUGAGGGUCGCGGAGUCGCGGUAUGGCAGCGAGCCCCGGGCCAGGCCGGUCGCAGAGGACAGGAUAUCCUAUUGCGGUGUCGUGUUCAGGCAGCUACGGUGUGGAUUGGUGUCUCUGAACGGAGAGAUAGGACGCAAAUGCGGCAGGCAAUUGAUCUAAGGCAGGUGUGAUGCCAGGGCCUGCUCCCCUUUCCUUCCUGUGCUAAGUCAGGGAUAUGAACGGAAGGAAAAUAGUUCCUGUGUGAACUAAAGAGAUAGGUCCCACCGAGAUUUGAACUCGGAUCGCUGGAUUCAGAGUCCAGAGUGCUCACCAUUACACCAUGGAACCAUAUAUGUGGAGAGGCUUUGACUCACGAUAGGUGACCAAAUCCAUUUUCGACUUCCAUCGUGCCCACGAUUUCUUCAUCAAGCACUUUUCUUACAGUCAGGAUCAGAGCACCCUAAUUCACAACCGGAAGAAUCGCACAUACGAUCGUUCUGUUCCGCUCUUGGCGUGUGGGGUGUAGCGGGCCCUCACCUCUUUACUCCUUCUUAGUCCUUGUCCCUCUCUUUCGUGCUCCUCAACCCCCGGCGCAGCCCAGGCCACAAAUCAUCGGGAAGUUGCAGCCAUGGGAAGAAAGGAAGGCGGGCCCCCUCUGGAGGAGCGUCGCAGCAUCUCUGGUCAGAAUGCUGUAGGGUCUGUACAGGAGACGGGGCGAAACGAUCCGGGCAGCCCUUCGAGCCAGGGCAGCGCUGGCCUAAGGUGAGUACGGGACAGAGUCAGAGGUAGGGUCUCAGUGACGCUUCGCUGAAUCGCCCGGAACUGCAAGAUUGUGCUUGAGUACAGUGUUUCUUUCGAGCUGGUGGCAGCUCCUCUCAGCGCCCCCUCGUGGCUACAUCAGCACGUGUACGGAGAGAGAACACGGGUCUUUGAUGCCAUUAAGAUGAGGAGAAAACUAGGUGAUACUUGCCACUUUAGAAUGAAAAGGUCAGCAAACUACAGCUGAGAUCGAUGUAGGAGGGGAACACGCGCUUCCGUCCUGGCGUCAGGUGGUAGUUGAGAAAGCAUCUACAUUUUACUAUUCAGAAUGUGGGUGGUUUCCCAAAUACAGUCCUAGAGAUCACGGGAAAGCACAUGACUGUGUCAUAGACCCUUAAAACUGCUGCAGCUUAGACCUGCAAACACCGGAUGGCACAGACUGUCCCACUCAGACCUCCACAGCUAACAUCUGGCCACUACUAACUCUUUUUGUCUUUUGAGACACAGUCUCUUUGUAACAGCCCUGGCUGUCGUGGAACUUGCUUUGUAGACCAGGCUGGCACUGAACUCCCAGAGAGUCUCUUGCCUCUGCCUCCUGAGCGAUAGGAUUAAAGGCGUUUGCCCCCACCCCCACCUACUAAUUCUUUAAUGGCGGACAGAGCUUUAGAGUCUGUGUGGGAGUAGACACUGAGGCCAUGGAUUUUCCUUAGACUGGGUUAUAUUAGUUUCAAUAGGUGCUGAGGUUUGGAUUAUAAAUCUUCAAUACCCCUCGCUUCUCCUAAGGUUCGUGUGAAGACUAGGCUCCAGCACUUUUGAGCACAGAUUUCAUCAAGGGAGUAUUAGGAAACGCAGCCUGCUGGGAGAAAGUGGGUCAGCGAGGGGCAACUUUGAAUUGUAUGCCUUGUACAGGUUUCUUUCUCUCAUUCUCCCUCUUCCCUCAACUCCUGACGGCCAUGGACGGAGCAUCUCCACAGGGCCAUAUGCUCCCUGCUCUGACAUGCAUUGACUGUGGUAAAGAUCCUGCCUCACCUUGGGUUGACAGCAAGGUGCCAGCCAAGCACGGGCAGGAACCUCUGAGAUCACCAGACCAAAGAAACCUUUUCAUGCUUCGUUCUCAAAAAAUAACAGCAGGGAAUUGCAGCUUCGGUUGUUUUCUGGUCAAUAGUGGUUGUCCUGGGGCAGCCUAGAGGAGUAGAAUUUAAUUUUUCUCAAAUUAUCCUUUUAUUAAAUGAGUACAAAGCAAAUAGAUUCAUGUAUUUAAAAAGAGAAAAAUAAGAAAAAAUAAGAAAGAUGGCUCAACUGUUCCCAAAUAUGGAAAUAAUUUAAUCUGGAAAGAAGAGUUUCUCCAAGGAGAAAGUCCUGAAUAUGUGACAGACACAUAUUCCUGGGAAGAUUCAGGGAAUACAGCUCCGACUUCCUGUGGCUGCUUGGAGAUCAAAAGAUGGUUUAGCCAAAACCAUCCAAUGGAAAAAAGAUAGCCUUUUCAGCAAAUGGUGCUGGUUCAACU